UACGUAGGGUGCGAGCGUUGUCCGGAAUUAUUGGGCGUAAAGGGCUCGUAGGCGGUUUGUCGCGUCGGGAGUGAGAACCAGGUGCUUAACACCUGGCUUGCUUUCGAUACGGGCAGACUAGAGGUAUGCAGGGGAGAACGGAAUUCCUGGUGUAGCGGUGAAAUGCGCAGAUAUCAGGAGGAACACCGGUGGCGAAGGCGGUUCUCUGGGCAUGACCUGACGCUGAGGAGCGAAAGUGUGGGGAGCGAACAGG
rnacentral:rRNA from 1 species